AAUGAACGCUGGCGGCAUGCCUAACACAUGCAAGUCGAACGAGACCUUCGGGUCUAGUGGCGCACGGGUGCGUAACGCGUGGGAAUCUGCCCUUGGGUUCGGAAUAACAGUUAGAAAUGACUGCUAAUACCGGAUGAUGUCGUAAGACCAAAGAUUUAUCGCCCAAGGAUGAGCCCGCGUAGGAUUAGCUAGUUGGCGGGGUAAAGGCCCACCAAGGCGACGAUCCUUAGCUGGUCUGAGAGGAUGAUCAGCCACACUGGGACUGAGACACGGCCCAGACUCCUACGGGAGGCAGCAGUGGGGAAUAUUGGACAAUGGGCGAAAGCCUGAUCCAGCAAUGCCGCGUGAGUGAUGAAGGCCUUAGGGUUGUAAAGCUCUUUUACCCGGGAUGAUAAUGACAGUACCGGGAGAAUAAGCUCCGGCUAACUUCGUGCCAGCCGCCGCCGUAACAC
rnacentral:rRNA from 1 species